rnacentral:lncRNA from 1 species
UGUCAUUGUUUUCUUUAAAUAUAAUACAUUUUAUUUCACUCACCCCCCACGAAAACACGAUUUCAGCCAUAUUUUGCCGUCUUGUUUGCUUUUUAUCGCCGAAUCUCGCAAAUAUCAUUCAGUUGUUGUACUUUUACAUAAUGAUAAAUGGCUAAAGAAGAUUUCAACCAAGUUUCAUCAAGUUUUGAAACAGUGCAGUGUA